ACUCCAACCAAGGACUGUCACCCGAAAGUCAGAAGCUAGACGCUGCUGCUGCUGAGCACUCUGCUGAACCAACAGUCUCUGGACCCAACCGAUUCCCCCUCUCAGAAAGGAAAGCCUGGACCUCUUCAAGACGCCUGAGAAUCCCGCCCGGACCAGUUUACCUGAAUCCAGUUCAUGUUAUCUUUGUGCAACCUUUAAUAAACUCUGUUGAACUUUUUA